UACGAAGGGUGCAAGCGUUACUCGGAAUUACUGGGCGUAAAGCGUGCGUAGGUGGUUUGUUAAGUCUGUUGUGAAAGCCCCGGGCUCAACCUGGGAAUGGCAAUGGAUACUGGCAAGCUAGAGUGCGGUAGAGGGUAGUGGAAUUCCCGGUGUAGCAGUGAAAUGCGUAGAUAUCGAGAGGAACACCAGUGGCGAAGGCGAGUCUCUGGACGACCCCUGACACUGAGGCACGAAAGCUAGGGGAGCAAACAGG
rnacentral:rRNA from 1 species